rnacentral:rRNA from 1 species
GAUGAGCGCUGGCGGCGUGCCUAAUACAUACAAGUUGAGCGAAUGGAUUAAGAGCUUGCUCUUAUGAAGUUAGCGGCGGACGGGUGAGUAACACGUGGGUAACCUGCCCAUAAGACUGGGAUAACUCCGGGAAACCGGGGCUAAUACCGGAUAACAUUUUGAACCGCAUGGUUCGAAAUUGAAAGGCGGCUUCGGCUGUCACUUAUGGAUGGACCCGCGUCGCAUUAGCUAGUUGGUGAGGUAACGGCUCACCAAGGCAACGAUGCGUAGCCGACCUGAGAGGGUGAUCGGCCACACUGGGACUGAGACACGGCCCAGACUCCUACGGGAGGCAGCAGUAGGGAAUCUUCCGCAAUGGACGAAAGUCUGACGGAGCAACGCCGCGUGAGUGAUGAAGGCUUUCGGGUCGUAAAACUCUGUUGUUAGGGAAGAACAAGUGCUAGUUGAAUAAGCUGGCACCUUGACGGUACCUAACCAGAAAGCCACGGCUAACUACGUGCCAGCCGCCGCCGUAA